rnacentral:lncRNA from 1 species
CAAAGUGUCUAGUUUCAUCAUGCAAAUUUUCAGAUUCAUUGGAUAAAAGCUCAGCAUUUCACAAAUGAUAUGGCAAGGCAAGGUACAAAAUGCAUACAUGUUUACAAACGCUAGCACAAAAUAAUUUCCAGCCGAGCACAAUUUAUGGAAAAAUGAUCAUAAAAUACUAGAAAGAAAAUUCAACGUGAUACAAAAAACCACAUAUUUUUUGGAGUAUUAUUCAAUUUAAUAUGGAUUUUGGAAGAUGAAGAAAAAAUAAAAAAAAAGAUAUGAGAAGC